AGUGAACGCUGGCGGUAGGCCUAACACAUGCAAGUCGAACGGCAGCACAGUAAGAGCUUGCGCUUACGGGUGGAGAGUGGCGGACGGGUGAGGAAGACAUCGGAAGCUACUUUUUCGGGGGGGAUAACGUAGGGAAACUUACGCUAAUACCGCAUACGACCUACGGGUGAAAGCAGGGGAUCUUCGGACCUUGCGGGAUUGAAUGAGCCGAUGUCGGAUUAGCUAGUGGGCGGGGUAAAGGCCCCCCAAGGCGACGAUCCGUAGCUGGUCUGAGAGGAUGAUCAGCCACACUGGAACUGAGACACGCUCCCGACUCCUACGGGAGACAGCAGUGGGGAAUAUCGGCCAAUGGGCGCAAGCCUGAUCCAGCCCUACCGCGUGGGUGAAGAAGGCCUCCGUGUUGUAAAGCCCUUUUGUUGGGAAAAAAAAGCAGCAGGUUAAUACCCCGCUGUUCUGACGGUACCCAAAGAAUAAGCACCGGCUAACUUCGUG
rnacentral:rRNA from 1 species